rnacentral:rRNA from 1 species
AGAACGAACGUUAGCGGCGCGCUUAACACAUGCAAGUCGAGCGAGAAAGGGCUUCGGCCCCGGUACAGCGGCGCACGGGUGAGUAACACGUAGGUAACCUACCCUCGAGUGGUGGAUAACUCUCCGAAAGGAAAGCUAAUACAGCAUAAGACCACGGCCUCUUAGAGGCUGAGGUCAAAGCAGGCCUCUGCAUGCAAGCCUGCGCUUGAGGAUGGGCCUGCGGCCCAUCAGCUAGUUGGUAGUGUAAAAGACUACCAGGGCAUAGACGGGUAGCUGGUCUGAGAGGAUGAACAGCCACACUGGAACUGAGACACGGUCCAGACUCCUACGGGAGCAGCAGUGGGGAAUCUUGCGCAAUGGGCGAAAGCCUGACGCAGCGACGCCGCGUGAGCGAUGAAGCCUUGGGUUGUAAAGCUCGUGGUGGGAAGAGGAAGAAGUAAGGGCUAGGACUAAGUACCCAGCCCUGAUGACGUA